rnacentral:rRNA from 1 species
AUUAUUUUAAGCUAUAUAUUAGGAGUAAAUAAAAUUUAUGAAAUUAAAAAAUUUUGGCGGUAUUUUAAGCUUAUUAGAGGAAUUUGCUCUGUGAUGGACACAACGCCUUAAUCUUACUUAAUUUAGUAAUUUAAAUCAGUUUGUAUACCACUAUAUUAAUUAUAUUGAAUAGUUAUAUUUAAUAUUUUUUUUAAAAAAAAUAUAUUAAGUCAAGGUGCAUCUAAUAAUUAUGAAUGAAGUGAAUUACAUUAAUUUUAAUGUAAUUUUUUACAUGAAAAAGUUAAUUAGGAUUUAAUAGUAAAAUACUAAUAUUAUGAGUAUUUGAAUCAAGCUCUAAAAUAUGCAC